rnacentral:rRNA from 1 species
AACGCACGCUGUCGGCAUGCCUAACACAUGAAAUUCGAACGCUGCCAUCGGGUGUUGUUGCGCACGAGUGCGUCCCGCGAGGGACCCUACACGUAGGUGCGAAAUAAGUCCCUGAGUGGGAUGCUAAGACCGGAUAAUGUCUUUGGCCUAAAGAUUUAUCGCCUUUGGAUGGGCAGGCGUUGGAUUAGCUAGUUGGUAGAGUCAAAAGCUAGCAAGGUGACGAUCCAUAGCUGGUCUGAGAGGAUGAUCAGCCACACUGGGACUGAGACACGGCCCAGACUCGUACGGGAUGCAGCAGGGGGGAAUAUUGCACACCGGGCGAAAGCCUGAUCCAGCUAUGCCGCGUGAGUGAUGGAGGGAUGAGUGGUGUAGAGCGCUUUUACCCGGGCGGAUAAUGACAUGACUGGGAGAAGAAGCCCCGGCUAACUCCGUG